rnacentral:rRNA from 1 species
UACGAAGGGGGCUAGCGUUGUUCGGAAUUACUGGGCGUAAAGGGCGCGUAGGCGGCUUCGCUAGUCGGGCGUGAAAAUGCCUGGGCUUAACCCGGGAAUUGCGUUCGAUACUUCGAGGCUAGAGUGUGGGAGAGGUUGGUGGAAUUCCCAGUGUAGAGGUGAAAUUCGUAGAUAUUGGGAAGAACACCGGUGGCGAAGGCGGCCAACUGGACCACAACUGACGCUGAGGCGCGAAAGCGUGGGGAGCAAACAGG